rnacentral:rRNA from 1 species
CACUGCCGAGAAAAGCCUCUAGAUAGAAAAUAGGUGCCCGUACCGCAAACCGACACAGGUAGUCAAGAUGAGAAUUCUAAGGUGAGCGAGCGAACUCUCGUUAAGGAACUCGGCAAAAUGACCCCGUAACUUCGGGAGAAGGGGUGCUCUUUAGGGUUAACGCCCAGAAGAGCCGCAGUGAAUAGGCCCAAGCGACUGUUUAUCAAAAACACAGGUCUCUGCUAAACCGUAAGGUGAUGUAUAGGGGCUGACGCCUGCCCGGUGCUGGAAGGUUAAGAGGAGUGGUUAGCUUCUGCGAAGCUACGAAUCGAAGCCCCAGUAAACGGCGGCCGUAACUAUAACGGUCCUAAGGUAGCGAAAUUCCUUGUCGGGUAAGUUCCGACCCGCACGAAAGGCGUAACGAUUUGGGCACUGUCUCAACGAGAGACUCGGUGAAAUCAUAGUACCUGUGAAGAUGCAGGUUACCCGCGACAGGACGGAAAGACCCCGUGGAGCUUUACUGUAGCCUGAUAUUGAAAUUCGGCACAGCUUGUACAGGAUAGGUAGGAGCCUUUGAAACGUGAGCGCUAGCUUACGUGGAGGCGCUGGUGGGAUACUACCCUAGCUGUGUUGGCUUUCUAACCCGCACCACUUAUCGUGGUGGGAGACAGUGUCAGGCGGGCAGUUUGACUGGGGCGGUCGCCUCCUAAAAGGUAACGGAGGCGCUCAAAGGUUCCCUCAGAAUGGUUGGAAAUCAUUCAUAGAGUGUAAAGGCAUAAGGGAGCUUGACUGCGAGACCUACAAGUCGAGCAGGGUCGAAAGACGGACUUAGUGAUCCGGUGGUUCCGCAUGGAAGGGCCAUCGCUCAACGGAUAAAAGCUACCCCGGGGAUAACAGGCUUAUCUCCCCCAAGAGUUCACAUCGACGGGGAGGUUUGGCACCUCGAUG